rnacentral:rRNA from 1 species
ACGCUAGCGAUAGGCUUAACACAUGCAAGUCGAGGGGCAGCAUGGUCUUAGCUUGCUAAGACUGAUGGCGACCGGCGCACGGGUGCGUAACGCGUAUGCAACUUGCCUCACAGAGGGGGAUAACCCGUCGAAAGACGGACUAAUACCGCGUACACUCUAUGUUAGGCAUCCAAAGUAGAGGAAAUGAGCUUCGCUGUGAGAUAGGCAUGCGUCCCAUUAGCUAGUUGGUGAGGUAACGGCUCACCAAGGCGACGAUGGGUAGGGGAACUGAGAGGUUGAACCCCCACACUGGUACUGAGACACGGACCAGACCCCUACGGGAGGCAGCAGUGAGGAAUAUUGGUCAAUGGGCGAGAGCCUGAACCAGCCAAGUCGCGUGAAGGAUGACUGUCUUAUGGAUUGUAAACUUCUUUAUACGGGAAUAACAAGAGUCACGUGUGACUCCCUGCAUGUACCGUAUGAAUAAGCAUCGGCUAACUCCGUGCCAGCAGCCGCGGUAAUACGGAGGAUGCGUGCGUUAUCCGGAUUUAUUGGGUUUAAAGGGUGCGUAGGCGGCCUGUUAAGUCAGCGGUGAAAUCUAGGAGCUUAACUCCUAAAUUGCCAUUGAUACUGGCGGGCUUGAGUGUAGAUGAGGUAGGCGGAAUGCGUGGUGUAGCGGUGGAAUGCAUAGAUAUCACGCAGAACUCCGAUUGCGAAGGCAGCUUACUAAGGUACAACUGACGCUGAAGCACGAAAGCGUGGGUAUCAAACAGGAUUAGAUACCCUGGUAGUCCACGCAGUAAACGAUGAUAACUGGGCGUAUGCGAUAUACAGUAUGCUCCUAAGCGAAAGCGUUAAGUUAUCCACCUGGGGAGUACGCCGGCAACGGUGAAACUCAAAGGAAUUGACGGGGGCCCGCACAAGCGGAGGAACAUGUGGU